AGAGUUUGAUCCUGGCUCAGAUUGAACGCUGGCGGCAGGCCUAACACAUGCAAGUCGAGCGGCAGCACAAGGGAGUUUACUCCUGAGGUGGCGAGCGGCGGACGGGUGAGUAAUGCCUAGGGAUCUGCCCAGUCGAGGGGGAUAACAGUUGGAAACGACUGCUAAUACCGCAUACGCCCUACGGGGGAAAGGAGGGGACCUUCGGGCCUUCCGCGAUUGGAUGAACCUAGGUGGGAUUAGCUAGUUGGUGAGGUAAUGGCUCACCAAGGCGACGAUCCCUAGCUGUUCUGAGAGGAUGAUCAGCCACACUGGGACUGAGACACGGCCCAGACUCCUACGGGACGCAGCAG
rnacentral:rRNA from 1 species